rnacentral:rRNA from 2 species
UACGGAGGGAGCUAGCGUUUUUCGGAAUUACUGGGCGUAAAGAGCAUGUAGGCGGCUUAUUAAGUUGAAAGUGAAAGCCCAGGGCUUAACCCUGGAACUGCUUUCAAAACUGAUAAGCUAGAGGAUGAUAGGGGACAGUGGAAUUCCUAGUGUAGAGGUGAAAUUCUUAGAUAUUAGGAGGAACACCGGUGGCGAAGGCGACUGUCUGGAUCAUUACUGACGCUGAGAUGCGAAAGCGUGGGGAGCAAACAGG